UACGUAGGGGCCUAGCGUUGUCCGGAUUUAUUGGGCGUAAAGAGCUCGUAGGCGGUUCGGCAAGUCGGAUGUGAAAUCUCCACGCUUAACGUGGAGGGGCCAUUCGAAACUGCCGUGACUCGAGUCCGGUAGGGGAGUGUGGAAUUCCCGGUGUAGCGGUGAAAUGCGCAGAUAUCAGGAGGAACACCGAUGGCGAAGGCAGGUCUCUGGGCAUUAACUGACGCUGAGGAGCGAAAGCAUGGGGAGCAAACGGG
rnacentral:rRNA from 1 species